CUUAAGACUUACUGUAUCACUCCUGGUUAUUGGGUGAGUUCCCAUCAGAGUCAACCUCCUAGUUGGUGUAACACAAAUAUUGACCAGUGCCAUAUUUGUCAGGGAAUGAGGCAGUCUGUGGCAAGCAAUGUCGGGAGAAGAGGAAUAUUGGGACAGGGACACAGAAAGGUGGAUUUCUGAGGAGGAAUGGAGGGAAAAAAGAGGAAGCAGAGGUUGGAUUUGAAUUUGAGGAAGAUGACGAUACAAAUGGAGACAGGGUGUCGAAGAGAUUGGUGUCAAGUGCAAAAAGAGUGAGCUGUGCGCCAGAGUUCUGCAGUUGAAAUGGAAGGGAAUGAGGGCGAGUUAAGUGAGGUGGAAGGUGUGGUGUAAAGCUCGGAGACUGGCAUCGAUGGACAUGAUAAAGAAGAAUCUGGUCCAGUAGGAGUGACAUUUUUGGAGAAAGUAUAUCCUUGCCUUUUGGCGGAUCCAUUUCUAGUUUCAGGGUGGGUAGGAAAGGAGUUGGGUGCAGUCGAAUCAGUGAAGACCACACGCAGAGUUAAAGAGGAGAUAAAAGAGAUACAGAGUGGUUCCGACUGGGCUCAGAGUGAAAGAAGGAACAGAAGGUCCAGUUCAUUUACCACAAGGAGAACCUACUGAGAUUGAAUACAGCUGAUUUGGAGGAUGUAAGAAGAUGAGAAGGAGACACCGGUAGAUGAGAUGCAACAGGUGAAGAUGCAAGAAGGAUAGCGAUCCAGGCAGAUUUACUCAAUACAGUGAUAUGGAGAAGCGGUGAUAUAAAGGGCAGUGAUGAAUUAGGGAAGGAACAUCCCCUUUUAGGAUGAUAUAUACGGUCAGCCCCUCCCAGACAGACAGACCCCCCCCCUCUUUUUGCUCUCUGACCCCCUGUAACUGAGAGGCAUGUGAAUACCUCAUGGCCAGCUGCUAUGUGGAGCAGGCAGGCGGGGCACAGAGCUCGAGGUGUGUAUUUGUGUAACUAUGUUUACGUGUAGAGUGGGGUGUGUGUAUGUUUAUGUGUGUGGGGGGAAGUGUGUGUAUGCGUAGUACUGUAUGGAAGGGGUCCAACUCAGAGUCCGAACCCCUCCACUCACCCUAGAGCUGGGGUCCUGAUUGUAUGACCUUGUGUAAUCAAACACACUGAGCCCCCCUGCCCGACAUCCCAGCUUGGGGGUUCGUCAAUAAGGAUGCAGGUUGUAUUGCGUAAUCAUCAUGUGUGUGGUUGACGGGGGCUUGGCAGUGCCUAGGUGUGUGACAUUGUGUCAAGUGGACAGGGGGCCCUGGGGGGGUUAUAUAUAAACUAUUGGGACCUGAAUUUGUAUUUGUGUGGUCAUGCAUACGUGCACAAUAUUAGAUUAAAGGCAGAGAGACAUGGGGAAUUAAAAGGAUGAUAGACUGAGGGUGUGUCCCAAAGUCUCUCCAUUCCCUAUAUAGGCCUAGUGCACUACUUUUGACCAGAGCUCUGGUCACUGAAAUAGUCCACACCCAUGGAGAUGUAACAUGACAGAACGAAGACAGUGAUCCAAGGGCUCAGAAACUUGGACAAACCUGUCCCACACACACAUUUAUUUAUUUUAUUUUAUUUAACCAGGUAGGCCAGUUGAGAACAAGUUCUCAUUUACAACUGCGACCUGGCCAAGAUAAAGCAAAGCAGUGUGACAAAAACAACAACACAGAGUUACACAUUGGAUAAACAAACGUACAGUCAAUAACACAAUAGAAAUAUCUGUAUACAGUGUGUGCAAAUGAAGUGAACAAGUUGGAUGGGCUAUUUACAGAUGGGCUGUGUACAGCUGCAGCGAUCGGUAAGUUGCUCUGACUGCUGACGCUUAAAAUUAGUGAGGGAGAUAUAAGUCUCCAACUUCAGUGAUUUUUGCAAUUCGUUCAAAUACCACUACUAAAAUAUAAACACCUAAGCGUUUGUGCAUCACACAUAAAACACAUUUCAAAAGCAAACACUUUUGAAGUGCAUUGUAUUGUUUUGUAAUGUAUUACAUUGUAUGCUUGACUUACAGUGCCUUCAGAAAGUAUUCAGACCCCUUCACAUAUUCCACAUUUUGUUACAUUACAGCCUUAUUCUAAAAUCGAUUAAAUACAUUUUAAAAAGUAUCAUCAAUCUACACACAAUACCCCAUAAUGACAAAGU